rnacentral:rRNA from 1 species
AGUGAACGCUGGCGGUAGGCCUAACACAUGCAAGUCGAACGGCAGCACAGUAAGAGCUUGCUCUUACGGGUGGCGAGUGGCGGACGGGUGAGGAAUACAUCGGAAUCUACUUUUUCGUGGGGGAUAACGUAGGGAAACUUACGCUAAUACCGCAUACGACCUACGGGUGAAAGCAGGGGAUCUUCGGACCUUGCGCGAUUGAAUGAGCCGAUGUCGGAUUAGCUAGUUGGCGGGGUAAAGGCCCACCAAGGCGACGAUCCGUAGCUGGUCUGAGAGGAUGAGCAGCCACACUGGAACGGAGACACGGUCCAGACUCCUACGGGAGGCAGCAGUGGGGAAUAUUGGACAAUGGGCGCAAGCCUGAUCCAGCCAUACCGCGUGGGUGAAGAAGGCCUUCGGGUUGUAAAGCCCUUUUGUUGGGAAAGAAAAGCAGCAGGUGAAUACCCCGCUGUUCUGACGGUACCCAAAGAAUAAGCACCGGCUAACUUCGUG